rnacentral:rRNA from 1 species
GCAUAUCAAUAAGCGGAGGAAAAGAAACCAACAGGGAUUGCCUUUAGUAACUGCGAAGUGAAGCGGCAAAAGCUCAAAUUUGAAAUCUGGCGCCUUCGGCGUCCGAGUUGUAAUUUGGAGGGGGCAUCUUCGGAGCUGGCGCCGUCCUAAGUUCCUUGGAACAGGACGUCACAGAGGGUGAGAAUCCCGUGCCUGGGCGGCUGUCCGGCUCCAUGUGAAGUGUCUCCGACGAGUCGAGUUGUUUGGGAAUGCAGCUCAAAAUGGGUGGUAAAUGUCAUCUAAAGCUAAAUAUUGGCGAGAGACCGAUAGCGCACAAGUAGAGUGAUCGAAAGAUGAAAAGCACUUUGAAAAGAGAGUUAAAAAGUACGUGAAAUUGUUGAAAGGGAAGGGCUUGAGACCAGACUCGACCCGUGGUGAUCAGCCGUGCUUUUGUGCGGUGCACUUGCUGCGGAUCGGGCCAGCAUCGGUUCUGGCGGUGGGAUAAAGGCUCGGGGAAUGUGGCUCCCUUCGGGGAGUGUUAUAGCCUCGGGUGUCAUGCUGCCUGCCGGGACCGAGGACCGCGCUUCGGCUAGGAUGCUGGCGUAAUGGUCUUAAGCCGCCCGUCUUGAAACACGGACCAAGGAGUCUAACAUCUAUGCGAGUGUUCGGGUGGAAAACCCUUGCGCGUAAUGAAAGUGAACGGAGGUGGGAACCCCUCGGGGUGCACCAUCGACCGGUCCUGAUGUUUUCGGAAGGAUCUGAGUAGGAGCAUAGCUGUUGGGACCCGAAAGAUGGUGAACUAUGCCUGAAUAGGGUGAAGCCAGAGGAAACUCUGGUGGAGGCUCGCAGCGGUUCUGACGUGCAAAUCGAUUCGUCAAAUUUGGGUAUAAGGGGCGAAAGACUAAUCGAACCAUCUAGUAGCUGGUUCCUGCCGAA